GUGCUUGCUUUGACAGCACAUAUAGUAAAAGUUUCAACGUACAGUGAAGAUUAACUUACCUGCUGCACAAAGACGAAACACAAAUUUACAAUGUUGGUUCUUUUAAU
ensembl:snRNA U6 U6 spliceosomal RNA